AUUGAACGCUGGCGGCAUGCCUAACACAUGCAAGUCGAACGAGUGGCGGACGGGUGAGUCAUGUCUGGGAAACUGCCCGAUGGAGGGGGAUAACUACUGGAACCGGUAGCUAAUACCGCAUACCAUCGGAUGUGCCCAGAUGGGAUUAGCUAGUAGGUGGGGUAAAGGCUAACCUAGGCGACGAUCCCUAGCGGGUCUGAACGGAUGACCAGCGACACUGGAACUGAGACACGGGCCAGACUCCUACGGGAGGAAGCAGUGGGGAAUAUUGCACAAGGGGCGCAAGCCUGAUGCAGCCAUGCCGCGUGUAUGAAGAAGGCCUUCGGGUUGUAAAGUACUUUCAGCGAGGAGGCGUUACCCGCAGAAGAAGCACCGGCUAACUCCGUGCCAGCAGCCGCGGUAAUUC
rnacentral:rRNA from 1 species